AGAGGUUGAUCCUGGCUCAAGAUGAACGCUAGCUACAGGCUUAACACAUGCAAGUCGAGGGGCAUCGGGAUUGAAGCUUGCUUCAAUUGCCGGCGACCGGCGCACGGGUGAGUAACGCGUAUCCAACCUUCCGUACACUCAGGGAUAGCCUUUCGAAAGAAAGAUUAAUACCUAGAUGGUAUGAUGAGAUUGCAUGAUAGCAUCAUUAAAGAUUUAUCGGUGUACGAUGGGGAUGCGUUCCAUUAGGUAGUAGGCGGGGUAACGGCCCACCUAGCCAACGAUGGAUAGGGGUUCUGAGAGGAAGGUCCCCCACAUUGGAACUGAGACACGGUCCAAACUCCUACGGGAGGCAGCAGUGAGGAAUAUUGGUCAAUGGACGAGAGUCUGAACCAGCCAAGUAGCGUGAAGGAUGACUGCCCUAUGGGUUGUAAACUUCUUUUAUAAGGGAAUAAAGUGAGCCACAUGUGGCUUUUUGUAUGUACCAUACGAAUAAGGAUCGGCUAACUCCGUGCCAGCAGCCGCGGUAAUACGGAGGAUCCGAGCGUUAUCCGGAUUUAUUGGGUUUAAAGGGAGCGUAGGCGGACUAUUUAGUCAGCUGUGAAAGUUUGCGGCUCAACCGUAAAACUGCAGUUGAUACUGGUCGUCUUGAGUGCAGUAGAGGUAGGCGGAAUUCGUGGUGUAGCGGUGAAAUGCUUAGAUAUCACGAAGAACUCCGAUUGCGAAGGCAGCUUACUGGACUGUAACUGACGCUGAUGCUCGAAAGUGUGGGUAUCAAACAGUGAUUAGAUACCCUGGUAGUCCACACAGUAAACGAUGAAUA
rnacentral:rRNA from 1 species